rnacentral:rRNA from 1 species
AACGCUAGCUACAGGCUUAACACAUGCAAGUCGAGGGGCAGCAUGAACUUAGCUUGCUAAGUUUGAUGGCGACCGGCGCACGGGUGAGUAACACGUAUCCAACCUUCCGUUUACUCAGGGAUAGCCUUUCGAAAGAAAGAUUAAUACCUGAUAGUAUGGUGAGAUUGCAUGAUAACUCCAUUAAAGAUUUAUUGGUAAACGAUGGGGAUGCGUUCCAUUAGGUAGUAGGCGGGGUAACGGCCCACCUAGCCUGCGAUGGAUAGGGGUUCUGAGAGGAAGGUCCCCCACAUUGGAACUGAGACACGGUCCAAACUCCUACGGGAGGCAGCAGUGAGGAAUAUUGGUCAAUGGGCGAGAGCCUGAACCAGCCAAGUAGCGUGAAGGAUGAAGGUCCUACGGAUUGUAAACUUCUUUUAUACGGGAAUAAAGUAUCCUACGUGUAGGAUUUUGUAUGUACCGUAUGAAUAAGCAUCGGCUAACUCCGUGCCAGCAGCCGCGGUAAUACGGAGGAUGCGAGCGUUAUCCGGAUUUAUUGGGUUUAAAGGGAGCGCAGACGGGAGAUUAAGUCAGUUGUGAAAGUUUGCGGCUCAACCGUAAAAUUGCAGUUGAUACUGGUUUCCUUGAGUGCAGUUGAGGCAGGCGGAAUUCGUGGUGUAGCGGUGAAAUGCUUAGAUAUCACGAAGAACCCCGAUUGCGAAGGCAGCUUGCUAAACUGUAACUGACGUUCAUGCUCGAAAGUGUGGGUAUCAAACAGGAUUAGAUACCCUGGUAGUCCACACGGUAAACGAUGGAUACUCGCUGUUGGCGAUAUACUGUCAGCGGCCAAGCGAAAGCAUUAAGUAUCCCACCUGGGGAGUACGCCGGCAACGGUG